CUCAGUCGCAAACGGAGCGCCAGUCGAGGCGGUUCACUGAAAGCCACUUAGCAUCCCCGGCACAAAACUAAUUUGCCAGAUCAAGCGCGAACCUAGAAACAACAUCUACUUCACUUUUUUGUUACCCUUUUUUUUUCUGUUGUUUGAGUUUGCGAGUUUUUCACGUGGAAGAAAUGACCAUCUAUGGACUGUUGGUGCAGAUCAUAAUCGUUUGUAACUAGCUGCCCGAAGAGUCCCACGUCCGAGCAGCGAUGGCACCGCCUCCAGAGCAACCAGAGGAUGAUAUUAUCACCAAGAUACCCUCGAUAAUUGGAUUCCUCAACUUGGACUGACUGCCGACAAAUGAAGCUUUGGCUCCCCCACAAUCAACCGAUUCGAUGAUCUGACCUAGAGAGCCAAGGCUGAAGCGCUGAAUCAUGAGAAUUAUAGCUAGAAAUCUUUUGUAAUAGUUUUACGGUAAAGAAAUGGAGCAAAAUCCCCGCAAAUAAACGACUUAUGUAAACGGA